CUACAAGCAAAUGCCACAUAAAUGAUUUAAGUUUCGUAUGAACUUAAGUUAUUUAUUGUCAAGAACCUCCGUUUUACUUGUUCAAUGAUUACUUUUUUUUACUAUAUAAAGAAACACGCCUAUAAUAUUCUAAUAUAUUCAUUUGAAUCUCAACUAGAAAAUGAUGCAAAAGUGUUCGAUUUUGAUUUUUGUUUCUAUACUUUGCAUUAGCGAUGCAUAUAAUUUAGGAAAGUAUUUUAAUUCGGAGAAAGGCUUACCGAUGAAUGAUCGCUCUGUGAGCGCUAUAAAAGAAAAAAUGCUUCAAAUUAAAGAUCAAUUUAAAGAACUUGAAAUGUUUGUUGACACACUAAUUAGUGAAAGGGAAAAAAAAAGUGAAUUUGAAGAUAUCUUACCAUAUCCCGUUUAUCGUGAUAACUACAAGACGUAUAACCGUAAUAUGAAAAAGUAAAACAUUGGUUAAGGAAAAGAUAAAUCAAGUCUCUCGAAAAACGUUUUUUAUUUAACAAAAUUUUUUAUUUACCCUCAGAAUGUUAAUUGUGCUGUUUUGAUUGUUACCUUAACGCA